rnacentral:rRNA from 1 species
AGCGUAGACGGAUGGACAAGUCUGACGUGAAAGGCUGGGGGCUCAACCCCCGGGGACUGCAUUGGAAACUGCCCGUCUUGAGUGCCGGAGAGGUAAGCGGAAUUCCUAGUGUAGCGGUGAAAUGCGUAGAUAUUAGGAGGAACACCAGUGGCGAAGGCGGCUUACUGGACGGUAACUGACGCUGAGGCUCGAAAGCCAGGGGAGCGAACG